rnacentral:misc_RNA from 1 species
UCAAAUAUAUCAGAAAAUUCACUGCAUUCACCAUAUAGAAUAACAAAUACCAAAAUUAAUCUUCUCUGCAACGCAAGAACACAACAUAAAACCAUUUAUAAAUAGAAAAAGAAAAUGAAUAUAAUUUGCUUAACCUAUGAUAGAAAAUGGCUAUUGUAGAAUCCAGUCAAAAUGAUGUAAACUAAUAAGUUGGGCGAAAACAUCAAACAAUCACUGGAUCAAUUUGCCAAAAAUACAAGAACAUGGGACAAAUUUUGUUUGGGAAAGCACAUUUUCAACUAAAACAGAAUACUUUAUCCUUCAAAACUGAACAAAAAAUGGCCUACACAACAAACCAAGAACAAUGGCGCCCAGAAUAGACAACUUCUGCAUUCUAAGGUUGAAUAGAACAGCCCAAAUUAACCAAGAAAAGAAGUUCCUUUAUUAAAACUCAGUUCCUCUGUUUUUCUUUCCUUUUCUUCACUUAAAUGACAGAAAAACGCAUGCUUGAAAACAAAAUUUGGUAACAAAUUCAUUUUGGUCAGAAAACAUAAAUGCAACUAAUGAGGUGAGCAAAGAAGAAAUUUUUUAAGAAAAUGGAGAUAUUAGCUCAGAAUGUUAUGUCUUGCUGGUUCUUUUACCUUUCGUCUCCCCAUAUGACAUUG